CCAUGGCAGAGGCUGCAAUGCCACACUCAGGCACCUAAAUAAAUGGCCUGUCCUUUCUCAAAUGCUGAAUACCAAGAACUUCUCACUCGAAUCUGCCAAAGCCGUGGCUGUUCAGCUCCUCUGAAAAUCAAUCCACUCGUUUAGAUGCCUGAAUAUGAAUGUUAGUGCCGGACUUUGGACAGUGACAUAGGAAGACAUUGGCCUGAGCCUAUGCAUGGACUCUCAUCCUACAAUCCAGCCCCUCAACAGAUACAUCCCAGCUUCUGACUGUGAGCCAUUCAGCUACAAUGGGGAGGCCUAGAUGCUAGCCCCACAUGAGAGAGGGAAGGAUUUCAGGCCCAAGGCCCAAGUGGGGCAGGAAGAAGCACACGCUCACCUCAGUUGCCUUCUUUGCUGAGGGCGCACUGUCCAGCACGCCGGCAGACAGACCCAGAUCAGAAGGCCUGGAC